UUGAAGAGUUUGAUCAUGGCUCAGAUUGAACGCUGGCGGCAGGCCUAACACAUGCAAGUCGAACGGUAACAGGAAGAAGCUUGCUUCUUUGCUGACGAGUGGCGGACGGGUGAGUAAUGUCUGGGAAACUGCCUGAUGGAGGGGGAUAACUACUGGAAACGGUAGCUAAUACCGCAUAACGUCGCAAGACCAAAGAGGGGGACCUUCGGGCCUCUUGCCAUCGGAUGUGCCCAGAUGGGAUUAGCUUGUUGGUGGGGUAACGGCUCACCAAGGCGACGAUCCCUAGCUGGUCUGAGAGGAUGACCAGCCACACUGGAACUGAGACACGGUCCAGACUCCUACGGGAGGCAGCAGUGGGGAAUAUUGCACAAUGGGCGCAAGCCUGAUGCAGCCAUGCCGCGUGUAUGAAGAAGGCCUUCGGGUUGUAAAGUACUUUCAGCGGGGAGGAAGGGAGUAAAGUUAAUACCUUUGCUCAUUGACGUUACCCGCAGAAGAAGCACCGGCUAACUCCGUGCCAGCAGCCGCGGUAAUACGGAGGGUGCAAGCGUUAAUCGGAAUUACUGGGCGUAAAGCGCACGCAGGCGGUUUGUUAAGUCAGAUGUGAAAUCCCCGGGCUCAACCUGGGAACUGCAUCUGAUACUGGCAAGCUUGAGUCUCGUAGAGGGGGGUAGAAUUCCAGGUGUAGCGGUGAAAUGCGUAGAGAUCUGGAGGAAUACCGGUGGCGAAGGCGGCCCCCUGGACGAAGACUGACGCUCAGGUGCGAAAGCGUGGGGAGCAAACAGGAUUAGAUACCCUGGUAGUCCACGCCGUAAACGAUGUCGACUUGGAGGUUGUGCCCUUGAGGCGUGGCUUCCGGAGCUAACGCGUUAAGUCGACCGCCUGGGGAGUACGGCCGCAAGGUUAAAACUCAAAUGAAUUGACGGGGGCCCGCACAAGCGGUGGAGCAUGUGGUUUAAUUCGAUGCAACGCGAAGAACCUUACCUGGUCUUGACAUCCACAGAACUUUCAGAGAUGGAUUGGUGCCUUCGGGAACUGUGAGACAGGUGCUGCAUGGCUGUCGUCAGCUCGUGUUGUGAAAUGUUGGGUUAAGUCCCGCAACGAGCGCAACCCUUAUCCUUUGUUGCCAGCGGUCCGGCCGGGAACUCAAAGGAGACUGCCAGUGAUAAACUGGAGGAAGGUGGGGAUGACGUCAAGUCAUCAUGGCCCUUACGACCAGGGCUACACACGUGCUACAAUGGCGCAUACAAAGAGAAGCGACCUCGCGAGAGCAAGCGGACCUCAUAAAGUGCGUCGUAGUCCGGAUUGGAGUCUGCAACUCGACUCCAUGAAGUCGGAAUCGCUAGUAAUCGUGGAUCAGAAUGCCACGGUGAAUACGUUCCCGGGCCUUGUACACACCGCCCGUCACACCAUGGGAGUGGGUUGCAAAAGAAGUAGGUAGCUUAACCUUCGGGAGGGCGCUUACCACUUUGUGAUUCAUGACUGGGGUGAAGUCGUAACAAGGUAACCGUAGGGGAACCUGCGGUUGGAUCACCUCCUU
rnacentral:rRNA from 1 species